AUGGGUGCACAAGUCCUCUUGAAGUUACAGCCAUAUGUGCAGUCCUCUGUCGUCAGCCGGCCCUGCCCGAAGCUUGCUUACAAGUUCUUUGGCCCAUACAAGAUACUCAGUCGGGUGGGAUUGACGGCAUACAAGCUUGAAUUGCCGCCGGAAAGCAAAAUUCGCCCUAUUUUUCAUGUGUCACAGCUGAAGCCCUUCACAGCGGACUAUUCACCGGUCUUCAAUCACCUGCCAGCUCCUCCAGACCUCACAAUUGGCGACUUGGUGCCGUAGGCCAUCCUGGAACGUCGUCUGGUCAAGCAAGGCAAUGCGGCAAUCCCGCAGGUUCUGGUUCAUUGGCGCACGCUAUCACCGGCAAGUGCGACAUGGGAAAAUUACAAUGUUCUGCGCCAACGCUUCCCCGACAUUGACCUCUUCGACGGAGCUCCAUCCCAAGGAGGGGCAAAUGUCACGCCCUCCUCCCCUGCUGCCACAACAGUGGAGAAGGCGGACAGUGAGGCACUGCUGGUGCGAUGA
rnacentral:rRNA from 1 species